ACAGAGUGAGGCGCUCACCAAAUAGACUUCACACACAGAUCGAGAUGGUGCACAGGCUUACACACGACGAAGGUGACGAGGCUGCCGCCACCACGGAGGGGAGGAAGAGGGAGACGACGGCGACAAGGAGGAGGAGGAGGCAAGGUGGCGGAGACGCCAUCGCGGCGAUCAAGAGGAGGAUGCUGCGGUGCAGCGAGGCCGGAGAACGGGUGAGGUUCAAGCGGAGCUACUUGGCAGGCGCGGGCGGCGGCGAGCAGGGCGACGGCGCCUCCGCCGUCUUCUUCUACCUGGCCUGCAUCGCCUGUGCGCCGGCUUAAUUAGUUCAUCAGCUCCUCUUUCCUGUGUUCUACACAGGUUGUAAUUGCCUGAUUGGAAUCAUAUAUAGUCCGCGUUAGCUCACUACUCCGUUGUCAGUGGUAGGCUCUCAGGAAUCAAGAUGAGAUGCUCUGGUCGUAAAUAUUUCAGUUAUUUC